CCUACGGGGGGCGCAGUGGGGGAUAUUGCACAAUGGGGGAAACCCUGAUGCAGCGACGCCGCGUGGGUGAAGAAGCGCCUCGGCGCGUAAAGCCCUUUCAGCAGGGAAGAAAAUGACGGUACCUGAAGAAGAAGCCCCGGCUAACUACGUGCCAGCAGCCGCGGUAAUACGUAGGGGGCAAGCGUUAUCCGGAUUUACUGGGUGUAAAGGGGGCGCAGACGGCGAUGCAAGCCAGGAGUGAAAGCCCGGGGCCCAACCCCGGGACUGCUCUUGGAACUGCGUGGCUAGAGUGCAGGAGGGGCAGG
rnacentral:rRNA from 1 species